rnacentral:rRNA from 1 species
UGGGGAAUUUUGGACAAUGGGGGAAACCCUGAUCCAGCCAUCCCGCGUGUGCGAUGAAGGCCUUCGGGUUGUAAAGCACUUUUGGCAGGAAAGAAACGUCAUGGGUUAAUACCCCGUGAAACUGACGGUACCUGCAGAAUAAGCACCGGCUAACUACGUGCCAGCAGCCGCGGUAAUACGUAGGGUGCAAGCGUUAAUCGGAAUUACUGGGCGUAAAGCGUGCGCAGGCGGUUCGGAAAGAAAGAUGUGAAAUCCCAGAGCUCAACUUUGGAACUGCAUUUUUAACUACCGGGAUAGAGUGGGUCAGAGGGAGGUGGAAUUCCGCGUGUAGCAGUGAAAUGCGUAGAUAUGCGGAGGAACACCGAUGGCGAAGGCAGCCUCCUGGGAUAACACUGACGCUCAUGCAAGAAAGCGUGGGGAGCAAACAGG